GGCUUGCUCGAUGGUUACCUAGUGGCGGACGGCUGAGUAACGCGUAGGUGACCUACCCGGAAGUGGGGAAUAACUGCCCGAAAGGGUGGCUAAUACCGCAUGUGGUCGGCGAUUCAUUUCGCCGUCUAAAGGAGAAAUCCGCUUCCGGCGGGGCCUGCGUCCGAUUAGCUAGUUGGUGGGGUAACGGCUCACCAAGGCGACGAUCGGUAGCUGGUCUGAGAGGAUGAUCAGCCAGACUGGGACUGAGAACGGCCCAGACUCCUACGGGAGGCAGCAGUCGGGAAUUUUGCCCAAUGGACGAAAGUCUGAGGCAGCAACUCCGCGUGAGGGAUGAAGGCUCUCGGGUCGUAAACCUCUUUUCUCAGGGAAGAUCCAAGACGGUACCUGAGGAAUAAGCGACGGCUAACUACGUGCCAGCAGCCGCGGUAAUACGUAGGUCGCAAGCGUUGUCCGGAUUUACUGGGCGUAAAGAGCGCGCAGGCGGCUGGUCAAGUCCGAUGUGAAAUCUCCCGGCUCAACUGGGAAACUGCAUCGGAAACUGAUCGGCUUGAAGGUGGGAGAGGGUAGUGGAAUUCCCGGUGUAGUGGUGAAAUGCGUAGAUAUCGGGAGGAACACCAGUGGCGAAGGCGACUACCUGGCCCAUUCUUGACGCUGAGGCGCGAAAGCUAGGGGAGCGAACGGGAUUAGAUACCCCGGUAGUCCUAGCCGUAAACGAUGAACACUAGGCGUAGUCGGUAUCGACCCCGGCUGUGCCGUAGCUAACGCAUUAAGUGUUC
rnacentral:rRNA from 1 species